CUGUGCUUUCAGUGCUGGCUCUUUUAGCGUCAUCUACAUUUGCAGGACCCGUGGGAAGGAAAAUUUUCAUGUCCGAGGGUGACCUCUCUACUGCCGACUCUGUCAGCUAUGGCUACUAUGCGGCUCCUAUUCCAGCUUACGGAUACGGAGGGGGAUAUAAGUACGGAGGAUACAGCGGCUACGGUAGAUAUCGCAGCUACGGAAGCUACUAUCGUCCACCAAUUUAUCCAGUCUGGGGCUAAGGCUAAUCCCUGAACAUCACCCUUAAAUGAACACUAGCGGCUUUACCACUAUUGUAACCAAAGAAGUUGUGUAAACGUACCAAAAAUACUGGCAUUUGGGAUGAAGUUUUUGACCCCAGAAACAAUUAACACCGCCCCGGCAUAAUCGCAAUAAAAGCAAAACAUCUUA